rnacentral:rRNA from 1 species
UGGGGAAUAUUGCACAAUGGGCGCAAGCCUGAUGCAGCCAUGCCGCGUGUAUGAAGAAGGCCUUCGGGUUGUAAAGUACUUUCAGCGAGGAGGAAGGUGUUGAGGUUAAUAACCUCAGCAAUUGACGUUACUCGCAGAAGAAGCACCGGCUAACUCCGUGCCAGCAGCUGCGGUAAUACGGAGGGUGCAAGCGUUAAUCGGAAUUACUGGGCGUAAAGCGCACGCAGGCGGUCUGUCAAGUCGGAUGUGAAAUCCCCGGGCUCAACCUGGGAACUGCAUUCGAAACUGGCAGGCUAGAGUCUUGUAGAGGGGGGUAGAAUUCCAGGUGUAGCGGUGAAAUGCGUAGAGAUCUGGAGGAAUACCGGUGGCGAAGGCGGCCCCCUGGACAAAGACUGACGCUCAGGUGCGAAAGCGUGGGGAGCAAACA